CUUGGAACCUUAGCAAGGUGGAGGAACGUCUUUCCAAGUACGCAGCUCUCACCCUAACUUCAAAAGGCAAUGAAAUUUAAGACAUCUAGCAGCACUACAGUGAUUCAGCAGUUUGAGACCGGUGGUCUAUUGGGGGCUCUGUGCCAACAGCUGAAAGACAACACUGGUGAGAAAGCAGCUCUGGCACAGCCACUGUAUCAGCAGAGGAGACCACCCGCCUCAGCCAGACCGCCCGCUCUCAUACGAACAGCAUGCCUUUGUCCUGUCUCCCUCCAUUCAUCCCCAACCGGUCAUAGGAGACAGCUUCCCCUCCCUGGACCUGUUAAAAGGAAGUUUUUACCUUCCCACUAUCAGCAAAGUGCUUGUUCAUAGGAGGACAUCUUUUAGGGUUCCUCUUUUUUCUCUAUUUUAUAUUUGGUUCUUCACCUUACAAUGUAAAGCCUCUUGAAGCAAGUGUUGCUGAGACUUGGCGCC
ensembl:lncRNA